rnacentral:rRNA from 1 species
CCUACGGGGGGCAGCAGUGGGGAAUAUUGCACAAUGGGCGAAACCCUGAUGCAGCGACGCCGCGUGAGUGAAUAAGUACUUCGUUACGUAAAGCUCUAUCAGCAGGGAAGAAAAUGACGGUACCUGAGUAAGACGCCCCGGCUAACUACGUACCAGCAGCCGCGGUAAUACGUAGGGGGCAAGCGUUAUCCGGAGUGACUGGGUGUAAAGGGAGCGUAGACGGUGAGCCAAGUCUGGGGUGAAAUCCCGCAGUUUAACUGAGGAACUGCUAUGAAAACUGGCGAACUAGAGUGCGGGAGAGGAAAGUGGAAUUCCUAGUGUAGCGGUGAAAUGCGUAGAUAUCACGAAGAACACCGAUGGCGAAGGCAGCUUACUAAACUGCAACUGACAUUGAUGCACGAAAGUGUGGGUAUCAAACAGGAUUAGAUACCCGGGUAGUC